CCUACGGGAGGCAGCAGUGAGGAAUAUUGGUCAAUGGGCGCGAGCCUGAACCAGCCAAGUCGCGUGAAGGAUGACUGCCCUACGGGUUGUAAACUUCUUUUAUAAAGGAAUAAAGUGAGGCACGUGUGACUUUUUGCAUUUACUUUAUGAAUAAGGAUCGGCUAAAUCCGUGCCAGCAGCCCCGGUAAUACGGAGGGUCCGAGCGUUACCCGGAUUUAAUGGGUUUAAAGGGAACGCAGAUGGGUGGUUAAGUUAGUUGUGAAAGUGUGCGGCUCAACCGGAAAAUUGCAUGUGAUACUGGCAGUAUUGAGUACAGUUGAGGUAGGCGGAAUUCGUGGUGUAGCGGUGAAAGGCUUAGAGAUCACGAAGAACUCCGAUGGCGAAGGCAGCUUACUAGACUGCCACUGACAUUGAUGCUCGAAAGUGUGGGUAGCAAACAGGAUUAGAUACCCUUGUAGUC
rnacentral:rRNA from 1 species